rnacentral:misc_RNA from 1 species
AUUUCUUGAAAAGUUUAAGACUCCUAUUGUGGUUGGUGAUGAGCCAGACAAAGAAAUUCUGAAAAUGGUAGCAAGAACGACAUUAAGAACGAAGCUGUAUGAAGCAUUGGCAGAUCAGUUGACUGACAUAGUUGUUAAUGCUGUGCUAUGUAUUCGUAAACCAGAAGAGGCCAUUGAUUUGUUUAUGGUGGAAAUAAUGCACAUGCGCCAUAAG